AGGGUUGUGUUUUUGUGUGUGUGUAUGUGUGUGUGUACGCGCCAUGUACAUGCACUGUGAGCAUGCCUGUUUCUAUGCACUCAGUUUGGUUCAAUGUACCUAUGUAACCAUGGCCAUUUAUCCAGUUAUGAAUCCUCAGUUCAUCAUGAUAGUUACUCCUUUGCACAUAUGUUAAACUUCUUCAUCUCUUUUGCACUUUAUUGUUCUCACUCGGCAAUCCCUAAGCUUGGUUAAAUGAGAUCUUGUAUCUAAAACUACACACAGGAAAAUAAAUUUAGCUGGAUAAAAAUACAGAUAGAAAUGUUACUUGGCUUCAUGUUAAAAGUAUGAACUACCAGAACUACCAUACUUUUUUCCCCCUUGGUAUUGGGAUGAACCUGGGCCUUCAGGCUGAGUAACAUCCCCGGCCCUUUUAUUAUUUUUCACUUUGAACAAGGUUUUGCCACUUUGCUAAAUUGCUAUUCUAGGUUUUCAUGGCUGUUUCUAAGGAGGAUAUAGGUGUGCUCCACUAUGAAAAGAAAGGGGUCAUAGCGUCUUCUUAUCAGAGGGGCAGGGUCUGCUAUGGACCCCUGCACAUGACCUCACUUCCUUGGCGACAGGUCCAAACAGAACUCGGAACCCUCGAGUUACCGGACACCACAGUCUCAGGACGGCUGGCUCACAGUCACUUGGCUGGAGACAGCGAGCAGUGAACACGCUGUGCUGCCUGCCCAGGCCUCGAGGCCGCAGCCUCAGGACCCCUCGCAGGGAAAGCACUUGGGAACGAGUGAGAGGAUGGAUGACUAAGUCCAGGCGCAACAGGCCACUGGGCAGGAACCGCCCUGCCCUCGUGGACAGCACAGGGCAGGCCUCACCAGACCCGGCGACCGAUGACCUUGAGAUGAGAGCGAGCCCAGGCGAGGUGUCCCCGGGCCUGGCCAUCAGACGCGUAGAGCCACUGAGUCCAGGACAGGAACACUUAGGCCUGGCCGUCACUAUUAGAAAUCUGGAGGCCCAGAGCUUGGAUGAGGUCUGCAUCGUGAGGGCCGCAUGGGCAGGCAUGCUGUCCCCCCUGACGGAGGACUUCCUGGACAGCUACUCCAUUUAUGACAGCUCCUUCCCGGAGUCCGCUGAGUCUUGCAUUUCCUUCCUGUGGGAGGGGAUGCUGGGAAGGUCCGUGUCGUCUUCCCUUAACUCCUUAUUAGAGCUGCAUGACCAGGGGGAUUCAGCAGAUGAACUUCUCCUGGACCCACAGGAGCACGCUGAGCCCGGGGAGGCAGAGCCCCAGAGAGACCCAGGAACACGGAGACACUGGAUCCAGCGGGAGGAUGCAGUCUGGGAAGACUCCCUGGGGCUGCGGAGCCAGCUCUAGCCCAACCUGAAGUCGCACCUGUAGAGUGUGUGCCAGCUCCACUUUUAGCUCCCUCAUCGGCUCUGGCACCACAGCCACAGCCAGGGCCAGGAGCCCCUUCUGCACCAGCUGCACAGCUGGGGGUCCCUAAGGAUGGACACUGGGCAUCAGCUCCUGAGCUCCAGCUGGGCCAAACUCCUGCCCAACCCCUGCCAUUCCCAUCCAUUACUGUUGGUCAUGUUUUGGCAUAUAUAUUUGCUCUUGUUUUCUGGAUUUAUGUAAACAGUAGAAUUCUUUUUCAAUAAAAGUUAAGAUUUUAGUCUUGUUUAAAGCAAGCAGCUUGGUGG
rnacentral:lncRNA from 1 species